rnacentral:pre_miRNA from 1 species
UUGCUACUCCCUCCGUCCGGAAAUACUUAUCAUUGAAAUAGAUGUAUCUAGAUGUAUUUUAGUUCUAGGUACAUCCAUUUUGAUGACAAGCAAUUCCGGACGGAGGGAGUAUUAA